AUCCUAAUCCUAACCCUAAUCAUUUUGUAUUUCUCUCUUCAGCCGUCUGCCUCUCUUUCUCUCUAGGCGAUUACAAUACAUCUCUCAAUCUCUCAUCAUAUUAUCAUCACCACAUCUCUUCUUCAUCCUUGGCAUCUACAACUCCUCUCUCUCUCUCUCUUAAACGUGGUGUAGAGAUUGACCUUUUGACUGUCCAAACCUUAAUUGCUAGUUUCAAACGAUUGAGAUGAAAGACUGCAUGUGGGUAUGAUGAUGAUAUGUGACAGAUCUCGUCUGUUGUAGAUCUUUUUUCCUUUCUCCAUUGAAACAAGAGGUCGUCGCCGGGGUUGGAUGUCUCCGUCGCCGGGGUUGGAUGUCUCCGUCGUCGAGGUUGGAUGUCUCCAUCGCCGCCAUUGGAUGUCUCCGUCUGUGAAAACCCUAGGUGUUAAUGGGUUGGGCUUUGUAAAUUUAUGAAUUGUAUAAUUUUGUUAAUGGGUUUAGGCCCUUUUUGUCAAUAGGGUUACUUUAGGCUUUUUUUAGUCCAUUAUCUUUUUUAAUUUGGUAAUUCGGUUUAAAUAAACCGAAAUAGGGAAAAAUUCGGUUUAAUUCGGAAUUGAUUUAAAACU